rnacentral:rRNA from 1 species
GAUGAACGCUAGCGGCAGGCUUAACACAUGCAAGUCGAGGGGUAUAGUUCUUCGGAAUUAGAGACCGGCGCACGGGUGCGUAACGCGUAUGCAAUCUACCUUUCACAGAGGGAUAGCCCAGAGAAAUUUGGAUUAAUACCUCAUAGUAUAGCAGUUUCGCAUGAAACCACUAUUAAAGUCACAACAGUGAAAGAUGAGCAUGCGUCCCAUUGGCUAGUUGGUAAGGUAACGGCUUACCAAGGCAACGAUGGGUAGGGGUCCUGAGAGGGAGAUCCCCCACACUGGUACUGAGACACGGACCAGACUCCUACGGGAGGCAGCAGUGAGGAAUAUUGGACAAUGGGCGCAAGCCUGAUCCAGCCAUGCCGCGUGCAGGAUGACGGUCCUAUGGAUUGUAAACUGCUUUUAUACAGGAAGAAACACUACUUCGUGAAGUAGCUUGACGGUACUGUAAGAAUAAGGAUCGGCUAACUCCGUGCCAGCA